rnacentral:pre_miRNA from 1 species
UACAAUGUUUUGACUCUUCGUCUUAUUUGAAAUUUUUUUGCGAUUAAUAUUUUUAUGCUUACUAGAUGAUAAAAGAUGAAUAUUAUUUUAUGCGUGACUAUUUUUUAAAUUUUUUGUACAAAUUUUUCAAAUAAGACGAAUGGUCAAACGUUGGACACGAAAA